CUAAAUAUGUUGUGUUUUAUCUGAAAAUAUUUAUUUUUAUUAUAAAAUAUAAAGUUUAGUGUUUCAUUUAUCUUUUUAAAAACAUAAUUAAUAAUUUAUUAUGUUGGUUUUGAUUUAAUAGUUAUGAACGAUAAAUAUCUAUAAGAACAUUAUGCACAUGGUUAAUAUAUAAGGGAUCUAAACCAAACUGAUCAUAUCUCUAAAUGAACCGUAUCGAACCGGACAAAAUUUAAAUUGGUUCGUUUUCGAGAUUUUAAGUGGUUGGGUUUGGUUUAUAUAUUAUUAUAUCACAACAACCUAACACACUCGCUCCCUCCGCCGCCGUCGAAGAAAAAGAAGAAGCAGUUCAAGAAAGCUUUCGGACUUUGGAACAACUAACUGAAUAUGUGUCUAAAGCUUGGCCGUGAUUCAUGAGUUGUGAAUCUUUCUCCUAAUUUUAGUCUUGAGAGUUUGAGGUUCCUUGAGAGCUUGCAAGUGGAGUAUUGUUCAAGUUGCAAUGCGAGAUAACCAGUUCCAGCGAGUGGAACAAGACGAUCUACUAAUCUUAAUAUAUAUAGUUUCACUACAAAAUCACCUUUGUAUAUGUUCAUGUUACUGACUGCUAUUGUGUGAGUUCAUGAAAAAUCAAAUAUGAUUUUGUUAGUGAAAAAUGCAAUGCAUUACUGCAUAUACGUUAGUUAAGAUAUGAAAAAAGUAAGAUAUAUCA